UGGGGAAUUUUGGACAAUGGGCGAAAGCCUGAUCCAGCCAUGCCGCGUGAGUGAAGAAGGCCUUCGGGUUGUAAAGCUCUUUCGGCCGGAACGAAAUCGUCCGGGCUAAUACCCCGGAUGGAUGACGGUACCGGAAGAAGAAGCACCGGCUAACUACGUGCCAGCAGCCGCGGUAAUACGUAGGGUGCAGGCGUUAAUCGGAAUUACUGGGCGUAAAGCGUGCGCAGGCGGCUUCUCAAGUCAGAUGUGAAAGCCCCGGGCUUAACCUGGGAACUGCGUUUGAAACUGGGAGGCUAGAGUGCGGCAGAGGGGGGUGGAAUUCCACGUGUAGCAGUGAAAUGCGUAGAUAUGUGGAGGAACACCGAUGGCGAAGGCAGCCCCCUGGGCCUGCACUGACGCUCAUGCACGAAAGCGUGGGGAGCAAA
rnacentral:rRNA from 1 species